AUGAAGGGGAUAGCUGAUGAACUCGCCGCCGCCGGGAGACCCCUGGACGAUGAUGAUAUUGUCUCUCACAUCAUCCAGGGUCUCAUGCAUGAGCCGGAGUACAGCGGAUUCGUCUCCGCCGUCUCCACACGCACCAUCACCGAUCAGCCGAUCAGCCUGAGUGAGCUUUUCUCGUUACUGCUCGCUCAGGAAUCACGGAUCGCCGCGCAAACCUCCUCCUACUCCGCCAACCUUGCUGCAAGGGGUGGAGGCCGCGGCAACAACAACCGU
rnacentral:rRNA from 1 species